rnacentral:rRNA from 1 species
GUUUUUUUAAGCCUUUUUUUUUUUUUUUUUAUAUAUGUGUUUUUUUUUCGUCAGGACGAACGCUGGCGGCGUGCUUAACACAUGCAAGUCGAACGAUGAAGCCCCUUCGGGGGUGGAUUAGUGGCGAACGGGUGAGUAACACGUGGGCAAUCUGCCCUGCACUCUGGGACAAGCCCUGGAAACGGGGUCUAAUACCGGAUACGACACAGGGAGGCAUCUCCUCUGUGUGGAAAGCUCCGGCGGUGCAGGAUGAGCCCGCGGCCUAUCAGCUUGUUGGUGAGGUAACGGCUCACCAAGGCGACGACGGGUAGCCGGCCUGAGAGGGCGACCGGCCACACUGGGACUGAGACACGGCCCAGACUCCUACGGGAGGCAGCAGUGGGGAAUAUUGCACAAUGGGCGCAAGCCUGAUGCAGCGACGCCGCGUGAGGGAUGACGGCCUUCGGGUUGUAAACCUCUUUCAGCAGGGAAGAAGCGCAAGUGACGGUACCUGCAGAAGAAGCGCCGGCUAACUACGUGCCAGCAGCCGCGGUAAUACGUAGGGCGCAAGCGUUGUCCGGAAUUAUUGGGCGUAAAGAGCUCGUAGGCGGCUUGUCGCGUCGGUUGUGAAAGCCCGGGGCUUAACUCCGGGUCUGCAGUCGAUACGGGCAGGCUAGAGUUCGGUAGGGGAGAUCGGAAUUCCUGGUGUAGCGGUGAAAUGCGCAGAUAUCAGGAGGAACACCGGUGGCGAAGGCGGAUCUCUGGGCCGAUACUGACGCUGAGGAGCGAAAGCGUGGGGAGCGAACAGGAUUAGAUACCCUGGUAGUCCACGCCGUAAACGGUGGGCACUAGGUGUGGGCAGCAUUCCACGUUGUCCGUGCCGUAGCUAACGCAUUAAGUGCCCCGCCUGG